rnacentral:rRNA from 1 species
UACGUAGGGGGCAAGCGUUGUCCGGAAUCAUUGGGCGUAAAGAGCGUGUAGGCGGCCCGAUAAGUCCGCCGUGAAAGUCCAGGGCUCAACCCUGGAAUGCCGGUGGAAACUGUCGGGCUGGAGUCCGGAAGAGGCGAGUGGAAUUCCUGGUGUAGCGGUGAAAUGCGCAGAUAUCAGGAGGAACACCAAUGGGCGAAGGCAGCUCGCUGGGACGGUACUGAC